rnacentral:rRNA from 1 species
GGAAAAGCUCAAAUUUAAAAUCUGGCAGUCUCCGAUUGUCCGAGUUGUAAUUUAGAGAAGUGUUACCCGUGUUGGACCGUGUACAAGUUUCCUGGAAUGGAACGUCAUAGAGGGUGAGAAUCCCGUCUUUGACACGGAUCCCAAUGCAUUGUGGUAUGCUCUCGAAGAGUCGAGUUGUUUGGGAAUGCAGCUCUAAAUGGGUGGUAAAUUCCAUCUAAAGCUAAAUAUUGGGGAGAGACCGAUAGCGAACAAGUACCGUGAGGGAAAGAUGAAAAGAACUUUGGAAAGAGAGUUAAACAGUACGUGAAAUUGCUAAAAGGGAAACGCUUGAAGUCAGUCGCGUUGGCCAGGGAUCAGCCUUCCUUUUGGUUGGUGUACUUCCUGGUUGAUGGGUCAACAUCAGUUUUGACCGGUGGAUAAGAGUGGGAGGAAUGUGGCAUCUUCGGGUGUGUUAUAGCCUCUUAUUGUAUACAUCGGUUGGGACUGAGGAACUCAGCACGCCGCAAGGCCGGGUUUUUAACCACGUUCGUGCUUAGGAUGUUGGCAUAAUGGCUUUAAUCGACCCGUCUUGAAACACGGACCAAGGAGUCUAACAUGCCUGCGAGUGUUUGGGUGGAAAACCCGAGCGCGUAAUGAAAGUGAAAGUUAGGAUCUCUGUCGUGGAGAGCACUGACGCCCUGUCCAGACCUUUUGUGACGGUACAGCGGUUGAGCAUGUAUGUUGGGACCCGAAAGAUGGUGAACUAUGCCUGAAUAGGGUGAAGCCAGAGGAAACUCUGGUGGAGGCUCGUAGCGAUUCUGACGUGCAAAUCGAUCGUCGAAUUUGGGUAUAGG